GAUGAAGAACGUAGCGAAAUGCGAUAAGUAAUGUGAAUUGCAGAAUUCAGUGAAUCAUCGAAUCUUUGAACGCACAUUGCGCCCGUCAGUAUUCUGGCGGGCAUGCCUGUUCGAGCGUCAUUACGCCCCUCAAGUCCCCUGUGGACUUGGUGUUGGGGAUCGGCGAGGCUGGUUUUCCAGCACAGCCGUCCCUUAAAUUAAUUGGCGGUCUCGCCGUGGCCCUCCUCUGCGCAGUAGUAAAACACUCGCAACAGGAGCCCGGCGCGGUCCACUGCCGUAAAACCCCCCAACAUUUUAUAGUUGACCUCGAAUCAGGUAGGACUACCCGCUGAACUUAAGCAUAUCAAUAAGCGGAGGA
rnacentral:misc_RNA from 1 species